rnacentral:rRNA from 1 species
UAAGGAAUAUUGCUCAAUGGGAGAAAUCCUGAAGCAGCAACGCCGCGUGGAGGAUGAAGGGUCUAUGACUUGUAAACUCCUGUAAAGAAGGAAAAAAUUCCCAUUAGAUGGGAGAUGAUGGUACUUCUGGAGUAAGCCCCGGCUAACUACGUGCCAGCAGCCGCGGUCAUACGUAGGGGGCAAGCGUUGUCCGGAUUUACUAGGUGUAAAGGGUGCUCAGGCGGAUUUGUAAGUCAGAGGUGAAAUCUUACAGCUUAACUGUGAAACUGCCUUUGAUAAUGCAAGCCUAGAGUAUGGAAGAGAGUGAUGGAAUAUCUGGUGUAGCAGUGACAUGCGUAGAUAUCAGAUAGAUCACCAAUGGCGAAGGCAGUCACUUGGUCCAUUACUGACGCUAAAGCACGAAAGCGUGGGUAGCAAACA